UGAUGUCAAGUAAUCAAUUCCUAUUCCAUCCACCAUACUUUUAGCAAGAGUGAGAUGGAACAUUGGAAAUUCUUAUUAGUGGUGAUGAUAUUGUAAACAUACGGGCAGCCAAUGAUGUCUGCGGGAGGCUAAAAUGAAUGCAAAUGUACCGUGUGCCCCCACAGGCUAAUCUCAACGCAGUGUUCACUUUCACAUCAUUAGCUUACAUAUUACUCAGACAAGGUAUGUAGCCAUACACACGAUGUUCCCUAUCUUAAAGGCAUUUACAGUUCACAGUCACAUGAGAUCAAAAGAGAAACACAUUUCUUUAUGGUUGGUGUUUUUCCUUGCCCUCCCUUAACUCCAUCCAUUUCUAUUGCCAUACACAAAAUUCUGUCUGUGUUCUAAGCCUAUAUACCUUGUUUACACUGUCUCUGUCAGAGGCAGCGAGUGCCAUGUCCUUCGCUGAUCCAUAGAUGUCACUUAAGAUUGUGGGUAGAUAUAGAAAACUGCCAAAAUGUAGUUAUGUCCUGCCCUUCUUGUAACUCAGGCACGAUACAGUGUCCAGUUUUCUUCUGAAAUUGGUUGUUUGACAAUCAUCUAUCUUUCUUUCUACAUUUUACUGUGCCUAUUCUUAAACGCUCUGAGGUGAAACAGUUGUCUGGGCUGAAAUGGUGGCUUAAAUUAGAGGCAGAAUGAGUUUAUUUGCUUCACAAAUAAUCAAACUAUAAUAUUUUCUUAUCACCAUGUAUUAGCCAUUUGAACAUUAUCAGCUGAAGUCGUUGAGAAUUAUGUGUAACACAGGACAGAGCAAGACUCUCAAGCCGAGAUGAAAUUAAUGGUGACCCUAAGGAAAAUUAGCACGACAUUGGAAGUAAAGGAGAAGCAGUUGUUUGAUGCUCUGAAAGUCAGGUGUGAGUACAAGACAGCCUGAACACUCAGACACUGUCACCUACCUGUUGCCACAGUGGUUAGCAUGAAACAGCAGCUGGAUCUGAAGUUCCUCCAAAUGCUAACAACUUCCUGUUGGGGCAGGCUAAUGAAGUCUAAAACUUACAGCAUCCAUACUACAUCAGGAUUAGAGAAGUCGGGGGCUCAGAGGAUUUCAGAAUUGUUGUUACCGCCGAGGCUACACACUCUGUUAUCACCUAAUUUGGCAGAUAAAUGAUUCAGAGAGAAAGAGGAAUAUCAGUUAAUUGUCCACAUUGGUACUGCUAGGAUGACACAGCGCAAGGCCAGAUCCCGGGGCACCUGACUUCAUGGUUCAGUACUUUUUUAUGCUGAGACCACAGCAUAAUACAACAAUAUCAUAACACUGACCCAGCCAGAGCAUCUUCUACCAUGGAAGUUCGGAAAUUCUAUUUCUUCUUCAAAAUUAAAGGCCUGCCACAGUGUCUGUCCUCAAGAACAAAAGCAAACAUAAAAUGUCUUUAUCAUCCUAAUAAUUUUAUGAGAAUCAAGAGGUAAAAAUAUGAAAUUUCUUGCUUUUGGGUUUAGAAAAUGAUGUUAGCUUUCCUUAGCUAACUUUAUGUUACAAGUGAAAAUGUAUAUGUUAAUGAUGUACAACACAAUAUUUGAUAUAUUUAUACUUAGUGAAAUGAUAAUCAAAAUGAAGUUAAUUAAUAGAUCCAUAACACCACACAAUUAUCUUUAUGUAUAUGUAUCAAAAAUACUUAAGCUAACUUACCUCAGCAGAGGUCUACUAAUUAGUCACCAUGUCAUACAGAUCUGUAUAGCUUAUUCAUCUUGCAUAAGAUCUAUGUAUUUGCAUAAUAUGUUACCCUUUGACUAUCAAUUCUCCAUUUACGUAAACCAUACCUUAACGAUUUUCUCUUUCCGUGAGAUUGAAGCUUUUAGGUUGCAUGUGUAAGUGACAACAUACAGUACUUGCCAUUUUGUGCCCAACUUACUUCACUUAGCGCAAUGUCUUCCAAGUUCCUAUUUGGAGUGUGACAGGAUUUCCUUGUGUUUUUAUAAAUCAGACUAAUAUUCCAUUCCA